UACGUAGGUGGCAAGCGUUUGUCCGGAAUAUUGGGCGUAAAGCGCGCGCAGGCGGCCUCUUAAGUCUGAUGUGAAAGCCCCCGGCUCAACCGGGGAGGGCCAUUGGAAACUGGGAGGCUUGAGUAUAGGAGAGAAGAGUGGAAUUCCACGUGUAGCGGUGAAAUGCGUAGAGAUGUGGAGGAACACCAGUGGCGAAGGCGACUCUUUGGCCUAUAACUGACGCUGAGGCGCGAAAGCGUGGGGAGCAAACAGG
rnacentral:rRNA from 1 species